GGUCCCAUAGCUCAGUUGGUUAGAGCGUCGUACUAAUAUUGCCAUAUCUUGCAUAUGAAAUAUUAAGUAAAUGCGAAGGCCGAGAGUUCAAGCCUCUCUGGGACCA